rnacentral:lncRNA from 1 species
UAAUAAAAAUAAAAAAUAAAAAAGAAUGACUUUUUGUGUUCAAAAGCUGUUGGAUUUUAAUGGAGUUAGAAAACUUUUUUCUGCUUAAUAAAGUGGAAAACAUUUUAAUGAAAAUGUAAGAAGUUCUUACGUCAUUUUGUUAUGGGAUGAUAUCAUUUCCGGAUGACGUCACCCGCUAAAUCAUCCUGUGAAGGAAACCUUAAUAGUAUCCGUCGGAAAACGUGAUGGAUUAGUUGUUACAGUUGUAAGUCGAUUAGAAAUUUUGAAUAAGUUUCUAUUGUUAAAGUUCUGGAACGUAGCCAGCACAUCCAUUUUCCAGUUAAAAAUGAUACUAGUAGGAAGAGAAUUGUUUAUUAUUGAACAACUUUUGUAUGGUUCCACGUAAUCGCAUCGGAGAGCGGUUUUCCGAAAUGUCAUCUUUUAUUGCGAAGUUUUUAAAGUGGUUUAGGUUAUUACGUGUAACUUUUAAUUUCGUCACAUAAGAAGAAAGGUGUUGCAUUGAUACGUAUUUUUUGCUUUUUAAUCUACACUUGUGUGUAGACUAUACACAAUCACUUCUGUUCAAUUUCAUACUCAUGACAUUUAUACUCUAUAAACGUAAAAUAACAGAUGGCAUUGAAAGAAAAACAUUCGGUAUCCCCAUCUGGCCAAAAAUCAAUUGGUCGAAAGAUUCUAGGAUUUGUUUAUACAGAUGGUGACAUAAAUAUCCCAUUACAGUAGGAUUAUCCGAGCGAAAAUCCAUGUGCAGGCUUGACCUCAGAUAGGGCAAGUAUGUUGUGGUAUAUAACGACCCCAAAGGGUCAAAUACGUGUCUUGACAUUCUUCGUCAGUAUUAUACUUGUUAAUUCUACACUACUUCAUCACUUAAAGGGAUAUCACGUACUUGUUUCUAGUUUGUGUUGUCUGCGUGUUUUCAUAGUCCCGACUUUAAUAAAAAGUGAACCGACGGAGAAAACAAUGUUGCAAUGUUACUUUUAUCCCAUUUAAAAGUCAAUAAUGGAGAUUGUCUGUCAUUUUUUCCCCAUUUGUCUAGACACUGUAAAAUUAUCCGAACAAUUUCUUAUAUUUUUCGAAUAUUUAUGUCGGCAAAUAGUUCCCGUAUCGAGAUAUAACCAAC